rnacentral:rRNA from 1 species
GUUUGAGGGCUGACGGCGGAUGCCUUGGCAUCGGAAGGCGAUGAAGGACGUGGCAAGCUGCGAUAUGCUUCGGGGAGUUGUUAACAAGCGUUGAUCCGGAGAUUUCCGAAUGGGGAAACCCGGCAGGAGUUAUAUCCUGUCAUCCUUACCUGAAUACAUAGGGUAAGGAGGCGAACGCGGGGAACUGAAACAUC